GAGGUCAGGAGAUCGAGACCAUCCUGGCUAACACGGUGAAACCCCGUCUCUACUAAAAAAUACAAAAAAAUUAGCCAGGCGUGGUGGCGGGCGCCUGUAGUCCCAGCUACUCGGGAGGCUGAGGCAGGAAAAUGGCAUGAGCCCGGGAGGCAGAGCUUUCAGCCAUGGCCCAAAAGGAAGAUAUGGAAGAGAGAAUCACUACUCUUGAAAAACGCUACCUCGCUGCACAGCGUGAAGCCACAUCUGUGCAUGACCUCAAUGAUAAACUUGAAAAUGAAAUUGCAAAUAAAGAUUCUAUGCAUCGACAGACUGAAGAUAAAAACCGCCAGUUACAGGAGCGCUUGGAAUUGGCAGAGCAAAAGCUGCAACAGACACUGAGGAAGGCAGAGACGCUCCCGGAGGUGGAGGCGGAGCUGGCCCAGAGGGUGGCAGCGCUAUCCAAGGCUGAAGAGAGACACGGCAACAUUGAAGAAAGGUUACGACAGAUGGAAGCACAGUUGGAGGAGAAGAAUCAAGAACUGCAGCGGGCAAGGCAA
rnacentral:sRNA from 1 species